UACGUAGGGGGCAAGCGUUGUUCGGAAUUACUGGGCGUAAAGGGCGCGUAGGCGGCACGGCAAGUCAGGAGUGAAAGCCCUGGGCUCAACCCGGGAACUGCUUUUGAAACUGCCGAGCUAGAGUGCGGAAGGGGCAACUGGAAUUCCCAGUGUAGCGGUGAAAUGCGUAGAUAUUGGGAAGAACACCUGAGGCGAAGGCGGGUCGCUGGGCCGACACUGACGCUGAUGCGCGAAAGCCAGGGGAGCGAACGGG
rnacentral:rRNA from 1 species